rnacentral:rRNA from 1 species
UACGGAGGGUGCAAGCAUUAAUCGGAAUAAUUGGGCGUAAAGGGCGCGUAGGCGGGAACUUAAGUCAGAUGUGAAAUCCCAGAGCUUAACUCUGGAACUGCAUUUGAAACUGGGUUUCUUGAGGGUAGAUGGAGAAAGUAGAAUUCCACAAGUAGCGGUGAAAUGCGUAGAUAUGUGGAAGAAUACCGGUGGCGAAGGCGACCUUCUAAUUUACACCUGACGCUGAGGCGCGAAAGCAAGGGGAGCAAACAGG